rnacentral:rRNA from 1 species
CAAAGGAAUUGACGGGGGCCCGCACAAGCGGUGGAGUAUGUGGUUUUAAUUCGAUGCAACGCGAAGAACCUUACCUGGUCUUGACAUCCCGGAGACCCUUAGGAAACUAGGGGGUGCUUCCAUCUGGAAGAAUCUGGAGACAGGUGCUGCAUGGCUGUCGUCAGCUCGUGCCGUGAGGUGUCGGGUUAAGUCCCAUAACGAGCGCAACCCCUAUCAUUAGUUGCCAUCAGGUCAAGCUGGGGACUCUAAUGAAACUGCCUACGCAAGUAGUGAGGAAGGUGGGGAUGACGUCAAAUCAUCAUGGCCUUUAUGCCCAGGGCUACACACGUGCUACAAUGGCCGGCACAGACGGCAGCUUAGUGGCGACACUUGGCAAAUCCUCUAAAGCCGGUCCCAGUUCGGAUUGCAGUCUGCAACUCGACUGCAUGAAGCCGGAAUCGCUAGUAAUCGCAGAUCAGCCAAGCUGCGGUGAAUACGUUCCCGGGCCUU